GUCAACCACCAUUUCACCUCCUGCACUGUUUUUCGGGCCUGGACCUUCACUACUAAAUGAGGCAGACACACUGUCGUGACUGGAUAAUUUGUUUGAGCAGUUGUCAGAGAGCAGUUUUCCAGCGCGAGAAAAAAGGUGCCACUGCGCAUACAUGUCUACGAUGAUGUAGAACUUAUGGUGCUUGCUACUUGCUCUGCUCCUACAUUUCUCGGCCCAUUUCUGGUUGGAGUCACGUGUGAGGUAACUGAUCUUCAGUUGUUACCAUUACCGUUGAACGUCGACCGUGUGCAGUAGCAACAGCAAUGACUUUUAUGGGGACGAGGUGAUGCAAAACUACAAGGUAAUGGAAGAGUUGUUUGUUUUCCAUUCACCUCGCACCCAAGAACCCUUUUGUUAAUGCCCCACACCUGAAACAUUGUAGGACAGGGAAGGUACCUAGAAAGUUGUUGAAUUCUAUAGAAUUCAUAAUGAACGGUUCGUUAAGAGCCGAGACCUGAAGCGGAAGCAGCAAUUCUGGGACGCGAUGUCCAUUUCUACCAAGAAAGCUUUGGGAAAUAUGUUUUCGCCAGCGCAGUGUGAGAACAAAUGGCUAUGUUUGCUACAUAGUUAUAUAAGGGUGUAGUGGACAACAACAAGAAAUCAGGUAGAGUUCAAAAACAUGAAAGAAAUGGGCGAAAUCUUUCAGAAGAGCAACAUUUACUCUGAAGGCUGGGUUCAUGGUGCUAAUUUCUUUAGAUGUGGUGGAGGCAGCGACCAGCGAACAACCAAGCAACCAGACUGUUCCAGGGAAAGUUGAAUUCUUUGAUUGAAAUACACCUACAUGCUUGCUGAGGGUGCAUUUUAUGACAUUCAUACAAAGCUACUAAAGUAUGUUGAAGUGCAUUGUAUGGAGUAUUUUCAAAGCAAAUGAUUUCUGAUAGUUUCAUUUGUACUGUCCUGGCUGUUAAUUAUUAAAUGCUAAAAGUCCAUGUGUGUGAGAGCAUUGUAGUUUCAUAGCUUUUUGUUGUAUAUGUCCUUCCUAUUUUCUGUAUCCUUUAAAUUAUGGUUUAAGUGCGUAGGUUAUUUUUAAAUUCAUCCUCUAAGGUAACUGGAUGUAUCACAAUUUUGUUUUACCACUAUCUGUAAAU